rnacentral:miRNA from 1 species
AGACUGGUUAAUGAUAACAGUGCAUCGUGAAACCUUCAGCAGGAAAGAAACAUGUUCUGUGGGCCACUUCGUUUUUGUGUGUGUGGCAUUUUUAAGUUAUUUGUUUUAAAAAUCAGU